GACGAACGCUGGCGGCGUGCCUAAUACAUGCAAGUCGAGCGAGCUUGCCUAGAUGAAUUUGGUGCUUGCACCAAAUGAAACUAGAUACAAGCGAGCGGCGGACGGGUGAGUAACACGUGGGUAACCUGCCCAAGAGACUGGGAUAACACCUGGAAACAGAUGCUAAUACCGGAUAACAACACUAGACGCAUGUCUAGAGUUUAAAAGAUGGUUCUGCUAUCACUCUUGGAUGGACCUGCGGUGCAUUAGCUAGUUGGUAAGGUAACGGCUUACCAAGGCAAUGAUGCAUAGCCGAGUUGAGAGACUGAUCGGCCACAUUGGGACUGAGACACGGCCCAAACUCCUACGGGAGGCAGCAGUAGGGAAUCUUCCACAAUGGACGCAAGUCUGAUGGAGCAACGCCGCGUGAGUGAAGAAGGGUUUCGGCUCGUAAGGCUCUGUUGGUAGUGAAGAAAGGUAGAGGUAGUAACUGGCCUUUAUUUGUCGGAAUACUAGAAA
rnacentral:rRNA from 1 species